CUUUCUUUGCUGGCGACCGGCGCACGGGUGAGUAACACGUAUCCAACCUGCCCUUUACUCGGGGAUAGCCUUUCGAAAGAAAGAUUAAUACCCGAUAGCAUAAUGAUUCCGCAUGGUUUCAUUAUUAAAGGAUUCCGGUAAAGGAUGGGGAUGCGUUCCAUUAGGUUGUUGGUGAGGUAACGGCCCACCAAGCCUUCGAUGGAUAGGGGUUCUGAGAGGAAGGUCCCCCACAUUGGAACUGAGACACGGUCCAA
rnacentral:rRNA from 1 species